rnacentral:tRNA from 2 species
GCCCUCGUGGCGGAAUUGGUAGACGCACUAGACUUAGGAUCUAGCGCCUCUGGCGUGUCAGUUCGAGUCUGACCGAGGGCA